UUCCGAAUGGGGAAACCCAGUGUGACUCGUCACACUAUCAUUAACUGAAUCCAUAGGUUAAUGAGGCGAACCGGGGGAACUGAAACAUCUAAGUACCCCGAGGAAAAGAAAUCAACCGAGAUUCCCCCAGUAGCGGCGAGCGAACGGGGAGGAGCCCAGAGCCUGAAUCAGCAUGUGUGUUAGUGGAAGCGUCUGGAAAGGCGCGCGAUACAGGGUGACAGCCCCGUACACAAAAGCGCAUGUGCUGUGAGCUCGAUGAGUAGGGCGGGACACGUGGUAUCCUGUCUGAAUAUGGGGGGACCAUCCUCCAAGGCUAAAUACUCCUGACUGACCGAUAGUGAACCAGUACCGUGAGGGAAAGGCGAAAAGAACCCCGGCGAGGGGAGUGAAAAAGAACCUGAAACCGUGUACGUACAAGCAGUGGGAGCACAGGUUUACCUGUGUGACUGCGUACCUUUUGUAUAAUGGGUCAGCGACUUAUAUUCUGUAGCAAGGUUAACCGAAUAGGGGAGCCGGAGGGAAACCGAGUCUUAAUUGGGCGUUAAGUUGCAGGGUAUAGACCCGAAACCCGGUGAUCUAGCCAUGGGCAGGUUGAAGGUUGGGUAACACUAACUGGAGGACCGAACCGACUAAUGUUGAAAAAUUAGCGGAUGACCUGUGGCUGGGGGUGAAAGGCCAAUCAAACCGGGAGAUAGCUGGUUCUCCCCGAAAGCUAUUUAGGUAGCGCCUCGUGAAUUCAUCUCCGGGGGUAGAGCACUGUUUCGGCUAGGGGGCCAUCCCGGCUUACCAACCCGAUGCAAACUGCGAAUACCGGAGAAUGUUAUCACGGGAGACACACGGCGGGUGCUAACGUCCGUCGUGAAGAGGGAAACAACCCAGACCGCCAGCUAAGGUCCCAAAGUCAUGGUUAAGUGGGAAACGAUGUGGGAAGGCCCAGACAGCCAGGAUGUUGGCUUAGAAGCAGCCAUCAUUUAAAGAAAGCGUAAUAGCUCACUGGUCGAGUCGGCCUGCGCGGAAGAUGUAACGGGGCUAAACCAUGCACCGAAGCUGCGGCAGCGAACGUAUCACUUAAAGCGAUUCAGCGGGUUACGAUUGACGGAGCGAAGCGACGUCAAAGCGUAUACAAAGUCGAGUCGGUUUAAGGAUACGUUCGUUGGGUAGGGGAGCGUUCUGUAAGCCUGUGAAGGUGGCCUGUGAGGGUUGCUGGAGGUAUCAGAAGUGCGAAUGCUGACAUAAGUAA
rnacentral:rRNA from 1 species